ACUGGGGGAUAGCCCGGGGAAACCCGGAUUAAUACCGCAUAAUACAGGGGGCCCACAUGGGUCUAUUUGUUAAAGAUUUAUUGGUUGAAGAUGGGCAUGCGUUCGAUUAGCUAGUUGGCGGGGUAACGGCCCACCAAGGCGACGAUCGAUAGGGGAGCUGAGAGGUUGAUCCCCCACACGGGCACUGAGAUACGGGCCCGACUCCUACGGGAGGCAGCAGUAGGGAAUAUUGGGCAAUGGAUGCAAGUCUGACCCAGCCAUGCCGCGUGCCGGAUGAAGGCCCUCAGGGUUGUAAACGGCUUUUAUUCGGGAAGAAGAGCAUGGAUGCGUCUGUGUGUGACGGUACCGAAUGAAUAAGCACCGGCUAACUCCGUGCCAGCAGCCGCGGUAAUACGGAGGGUGCGAGCGUUGUCCGGAUUUAUUGGGUUUAAAGGGUGCGUAGGUGGCUUUUUAAGUCAGUGGUGAAAUACAGCCGCUCAACGGUUGAGGUGCCAUUGAUACUGAAGAGCUUGAAACAAGUGGAGGCUGCCGGAAUGGAUGGUGUAGCGGUGAAAUGCAUAGAUAUCAUCCAGAACACCGAUUGCGAAGGCAGGUGGCUACGUU
rnacentral:rRNA from 1 species